AAGCCGUGCGCCUAUGAUGUCAGCUUCGACCAGUAGCCACCCGCGGCUCAUGGCUGCCCCGCCUGGCGUGACCGAACGUCUCCGUUACGGCUUCCACUAUUGGAGCAAUUCGAAAUUUCCCCAACUUUGAUUGGUGGGCGGCCGUGCAGGCUAUUUUUAGCAGGGUAUAUAGGGCACGAGCUCCCGGGCUGCCCGAAGAGUUGGUGCGGUAUCGUUGCUCUGUGGUGCAGGGGUUUCAGUCCUGCCCGCUGCCGCUGCGAGCGUGGCUGAGCCACUGCGGGGCUGGAAGACCUCGAUGGCUGCCUUAGAGUUGAUGGAGCCCUGGGGCUCCAGGAUUCAACCUCUCUUACCCCUUCCCCCCAAUCUUUCCCAUCCCCGUAUCUUACCCUAGUUUUUUUUUUGCUUUCUCCGUAGUUCUAAACAAAGCAAAAACAGGAUCGAUCUCCGAAGCUGCCCUCGUCGGAGAAGGGGCUAUUCUCGCCUCGCGCCUAGGGGCACGUCUGCGCCAGGUCACCCUCGCGCCUUUAGCGGCGGAGGGGUUGAAAGCUGAGGAGCGCGGAGGGCUGCGCUCUCGCUCCUUCCUGUAAUUCCCCGUUGUCGGUUUGCUCGGUGCUCCCGGAUCCUCUUCUCUGCUCUGCUCUCUGGCUCCCCUAGGGCUCCUGUGGGGUAACCACAUUUGCAGGCUUAGCACCCGGCAGGGCGCAGGCUCUCCAGCGAAGCUUCCCAGCGCCAAGCAGUGGUCGUACCCAAGGGCGCACCGACCUGGCAGACGUGCAGCUCCCGAGAGCAGCGUGUACUCUCGCUCCCAAGCUCUGUCCCACACGCGGUAGCUGGCCGUCUGGGCUUCCCUAGGAAGCAGCAGCGUCCGCUUCGCCUGUCCUGCAGGCGUUCAUGCCCGCAAAACGCCCCUUUUCCGCACCACCACCCCACUCGCCCCGCAGAAAUUGAUAACGAAAGCGAAAUCAAAUGGUUGGGGAUGGGGGUGUGAGAGUCAGUAGAGAAGGGUUGCAUCAACCUUAGAGGAAAGAAUUGAAGCAUUUGGGCGACUUUGAUUUGAAACCUGUAAUUGGACAUGAAUUGGGGAUGAGGGAGGGUGACUGCUGUUGAAUGAAACAUCUGCAUACGCUUUCCCAAUUCUCCAUAGAAUUAAGUCAUUUAAAGCAGGUUUGUGCUUUAAAUAGGUCUAGUAAGGUGUAUCCUGUUCUGAAAGCAACAAAACUGGAAUCGAAGUCGGUUCCACCGCUUGAUAUGUAUUGGAAUUCCUGUUUAUUAGGACGUCCUUAGAAUCACUCUGGGGGGAGGGUACCUUGAACACUUCAAGAAUCAAAACAGCUGGUAAGGCUAAUUUGGCGUCGUUUAACCAAGCCUCCUGUGCUCAAUGCUCAACUUCCAAACAAGUCUCUUCUCACAAGCUGGAAGUAUUCAAGGCUCUAUUAGAGAGAGAAUCUCCAUGACAGAGUAACACAGCAGAUGGUUCCGUGCAGGCUGUCGAAGUGACCUCAGGCCUUUGAUACCUCUGAUGAGACCUGAGCUGUACUUCAGAGGAAGUGGAAAAUCUGAUCCACCAUAGUGAAGACUGGUAGCAAGUUAUACAGGGAGGCAGCAGCAAAGUCAGAAGAAUGAUCCCAAAAGAUAGAAGAGAAUUACAGCACCA